rnacentral:rRNA from 1 species
GGGCUCACCUCUUCCCAUCCCGAACAGAGUAGUUAAGCCCGCCUGCGCAGAUGGUACUGCAGUUAUGUGGGAGAGUAUGUCGCUGCCUUUC